rnacentral:lncRNA from 1 species
UCGGAGAUGUAGGCGUAGUCGGCGCAGAACUCGGCGAGGCUGGCCAGCUUCCUUCUUGGGCUCCAUGAAGCGGGAGAGGACGGAGACGCCCACGUCGAUGUGCUUCACCUUCACGGCGAGGCUCGCCAUCCUGUUUGCGCGGUACAUGUAGUCCAGCGCCUUGUCCACCUCCCCGCCGCUGGCUGCUUCACGGGGACGGGGCGUCCGGGUCGUCGUCGUCGGAGAGGUGUUGGUGUUAAACACGACAAAGCCUUCCAAUGCUGGUACGUGUCCAGGUGCCACUACAUGUAUGAUCCGAGUAGGACUUGAAUUAGCA